AGAGGAUUGAGCUCAAACUCUUAAUCAUGCUCAAUCAAGGAUAGGCGAGCAGUAGUUUGGUUUCCCCUUUUUGGCUUGGGUUCUUCGAGUUCAUCAACGUCUCCGGAUUGGAUCUUCUUAUCCUCCCAAUCCAUCGUAGCAAACAAAAAAAAGUUACCAGAAAAAGAAUGAGAGCCAGAAAGAUGCAACUCUUAAUUUUUGUUAUGGUACAUGUUUGUAAUGGUCUCGUGCAAAUAUAUAG
rnacentral:misc_RNA from 1 species